UUUGAAGAGUAAAACUGUUACAAGUAAAGAAAAUGUGAUCCAAGGUAGGUAAUGUAAUAAAAUAGAGGAAGAAGAACCACUCUGCAAUUUUACAAGAAGAGGAUGAUUUUUAAUGGAUGAAAUUCUCAACAAAAACCUGUAUAUUAAAUAUUUAAAGCGAAUUUUCAAAGGAGGGAUGUUACAUUCAACCUGCAUUGAUAUUAUGGGUGUGGAACACAUCGCACCAAGCACAAUCCAGCUGAUGUCCAAGCCCAGAUCAUCAUAAUAGGCCUUAAGGCCGAGGAGAGCAACUCUGAGAUUUUCAAUAGCUGCAGACAACUUGUCUGCAGUACAAUAUAUAGUUAAGUCAUCUACAAACUGUAGGUAAUUGUAAAGAAGUUAAAAUAGUUGAAAGUUUUUCCAAAUUGACAUUAUUAUAUGCGCCAACAACAUCAAAGAAAAUACCAACCAAUA